rnacentral:rRNA from 1 species
ACGGAAGGCAGCAGUGAGGAAUAUUGGUCAAUGGGCGGAAGCCUGAACUAGCCAAGUCGCGUGAAGGAUGAAGGUAUUAUGUAUUGUAAACUUCUUUAGCAGCAGAGUAAUAAGGGAGUCGAGACUCCUGAUGCAAGUAUGCUGAAAAUAAGGAUCGGCUAACUCCGUGCCAGCAGCCGCGGUAAUACGGAGGAUCCGAGCGUUAUCCGGAUUUAUUGGGUUUAAAGGGUGCGCAGGCGGCUUUUUAAGUCAGUGGUUAAAUCGUGACGCUCAACGUCAUCACGCCAUUGAUACUGGAGAGCUUGAUUGCGGUCGAGGUUUGCGGAAUUCGUUGUGUAGCGGUGAAAUGCAUAGAUAUGACGAAGAACACCGAUUGCGUAGGCAGCAGACCAGGCCGUAAAUGACGCUCAUGCACGAAAGUGCGGGGAUCGAACAGGAUUAGAUACCCUGGUA